rnacentral:rRNA from 1 species
AGUAACACGUGGGUAACCUGCCUCAUACAGGGGGAUAACAGUUAGAAAUGACUGCUAAUACCGCAUAAGCGCACAGUGCUGCAUGGCACAGUGUGAAAAACUCCGGUGGUAUGAGAUGGACCCGCGUCUGAUUAGCUAGUUGGUGGGGUAACGGCCUGCCAAGGCGACGAUCAGUAGCCGGCCUNAGAGGGUGAACGGCCACAUUGGGACUGAGACACGGCCCAAACUCCUACGGGAGGCAGCAUG